UUGCUGUAUCUGCUGAGUCCGAAUGUGCAUUCUGUCCACAGUGAAGUUUAAGAAGCACUGAUCGAACGUGCUGUAUGUUUUAGUUUUCUAUCUAACGUCACCCACUUGGAAUGUAAGCUCCAGGUCAGCGAUUCUUGCCUAUUUUGUUGACUGCUUCCAUCCACAGGUGACUAGAAAGCUGCCUGGCUUUCAAUAUAUUUGUUGGAUUAAUCUAUUGACAUCAGGUGCCCAGGUUCUAGCUCUGAGCCCAGGGGAGAUUAAUACUGUGUCUUUCCUACAGAGAAAUCACAGAGUUGCAAAUCCUCCCUGCUCAGCUUCAUCAGCACUUAAUACCAUUUGCUCGAGCUCCUGGGUGAGAGCUACAAAACUAGUCCCUGAGCCCAGUGGGAGGAUCCACUAGUCCACACCCUCGACCUCUGUCAGCCUCUUCAGCCCCUUCUCGCUUGAGGAGAAUGUGAUCGUUGUUACAGGCAUCAGAAAAAGAAGGCAUACAAGUACCAACUAGGUGUCUCUUUCUCCAAGGAGCUCCACAAAAUAUUCCAUCCAGAGUGCAGAUGAUGGUAGGUAGUCUUUAAUUUACACAGGUGUCUUCCCAGUAGGUUUACGGGAGAAUCAAGAGAAUGAAAGAACACAUGUUCCUCAGUCAGAGGGCCUAUCUGUAUGGGAACUGCCAGCGAAAAGUAACAAGUAGAAAGUUUACCCGGAAAAUCAACAACCUGCAUUGAUCUAUCACCAGAUGAAAAUUGGGAAAUUUCAGAGGAACUUGAAGCAUAAGUAGCACCAAAGGGCCGGGGGCAGUGGCUCACGCCUAUAAUCCCAACACUUGGGGAGGUGGAGGCGGGCGGAUCACUUGAGGUCAGGAGUUUGAGACCAGCCUGGCCAACAUGGUGAAACCCC
rnacentral:lncRNA from 10 species